ACUCCACAGCGCUCAGAGCAGGCGACGGGACAGGACGGGACAGAGUGGUGCUGUGAGAAGCCCCUGCACAGCGCACUCAUUCAUACCUGACCCGGAGCUUUUCUGAGGUGUUGUUCCUGCAGCUGACCUCAAGGCCAGACUGUGGGACUUGCUGACCUGAGUAAUUUACCAGGAAUCUCCUGUCAUUGUGGCAGGAGCGCCCAAGACUAGAGUGCAGGACUUGCUGUCCUGCAGCUACCCUGAGACCUCUCUGUCUCAGAAAUCUUCAAGGCACAACUGAAAUUGCUGACUUGGCAAUAUCCUGAGGCAUCUCUCUAGAAGGUGCCUUCAAGGCUGGAAGGUGGAAUGGCAGGCAGAUUUUUCAGCCUGUUCAAAUGCUUCCGGGGGAAAAAUAAGAAAGGCCCUGGAGCUGCUUCAGGAGAGCAACUUGAAGAGCCAGAGCAGAUCCAGACACUGCAGGAUAAUGCAGCCGUGGAGCGCACACAAGAGCAGCAAUCCAGCCGUGGCCGCUUCCGCAGAACAGCACAGAUGUUCCGAAAAUUCCCGCACAUUCGGCGUAGAAAGACCAACACCACAGCAGCUGAGGGCCCAGCUGAGCCUGACUCGGGGCUGACCCAGCUCCAAGCAGAGCCUGAUGUCAGCCCAGAUUCAGUUGGGCUCUCGCAAGACUUGGACACCUCAGGGACUGAAACCUGGCCACAGGCUCUUCCCACAUCAGUGACUGAGGAUGGAGUCAUAAAAAACACUGACAAUGAAGAGAUUGAGGCCUUGAAAAAUACUGGAGCCAUGCCCACUCCCCCUAAGAUUUGUGCUUCCACUGUGGAUUUUUUCCAGGACAGUGCUGUUCCUUAU